CGUACCCUGCAAAAUAACUUCAGUAUCACGCCUUUUUUUCAUUUCAGAAGCAUAUUAUAUGGCGACGCGUGCAUAUUGUAUAGAGAUCGGCGACCAAAGGACAGCCACUAUGGAUAAGUGCGAGACUAGGUCGCGAGAUAUUAGCAUUCCGGAAUUCACCAGAACAUUCUCAUGCAUGCGCCGGCCGACGACCCUUACCCCUUUACUUAACGUCAUUACGACCAAGUUUUGCGGAGGAAUGCGAUCGCCUCGACAAAACUUUCCUCUUUCGUGUAUAAAUACUCGUACGUAGCAAAGUUAUUUUUACUCGUAUAAGAAAUGAAGACAAAAAAAAAAGAAAUUAGAUUAUUCAAAAUAUGCAAUAUUAUUUUUGUGAUUUAUACUUUUGUACUAGAUAAAUAAUAUUUUCCCCAGCGGAUUGCCAUCGCCUCGACAAAACUUUUCUCUUUCGUGUAUAAAUCCUUGUUCGAAAUGGCGAAGUUAUUUUUACUCGUAUAAGAAGUAAAAAGGGAAACAAAAUGGUAUUGCAUUAUUCAAAAUGUUAAGAUCUCGAGUACGGAAUCGGACAGGAUUAUCUUUUUGAAAGUCGAUUAUUUUUCGCGAUAUUGCAAGAACGGAAAACUGAAAGAGCGCGCGAGAUGCAGAGAGUACGCGACAUGAAUCCCACUGACCCCGA